GUCUAUGGCCACAGCACCCUGAAUGCACCUGAUCUUGUCUGAUGUCGGAAGCUAAGCAGGGUCAGGCCUGGUUAGUACUUGAAUGGCAGACAAUGUGUUAAGUCCGCAGCGGUUGGAAUAGUCU
ensembl:rRNA 5S_rRNA 5S ribosomal RNA